rnacentral:lncRNA from 1 species
ACAACCUGUUCUAGGCAAAUUUUGCUCCAUAAAACUCAUAAUCCUCAUAAUCCUCAGCGCAGAGCUCUGCCUCAAACACGACUAAUAUGUAUUCAUAGGACUUAUUUUAAGAGGCUCAUCCUCUGUAACUUGCCUGGUCUCUCAUUUCUGUGAAUCAAAAUGGGAAAAGCAGUAAUGUGAAACUGUAUUUUGACAAAUGAACAGCUGAGAGGUCAGUUUGAGAAACUGUUUGCCAUUCCUCCUGUCGUGUACCUAAGUAGGCCCCUGGCUGAACUGGGCUCCUAGGGAAGUUCGUUGCAGGGCCUUUGGAUUAGGCACAUGAUGCACCUGAGGGAGACUCACCUGGACGCGACGACUCAUCGAGCUCCUGAGAGGAGAGAGGUUGAUUAGGGUGGAUGCUAUUCUCUAUGUUCCCCAGGAGUGUGAGAGUCAACAAAAUCCCACCAUCACCAAGGAAACCAUUAAAAAAUCCCAGCACUUUGGGAGGCCGAGGCAGGCGGAUUACGAGGUCAGGAGAUGGAGACGAUCCUGGCUAACUUAAAAGUAUAAAAAAUUGGUCAGGCGUGGUGGUGGGCACCGGUAGUCCCAGCUACUCGGGAGGCUGAGGCAGGAGAAUGGCGUGAACCCGGGAGGCGUAGCUUGCAGUGAACCGAGAUCACGCCACUGCACUCCAGCCUGGGCGACAGAGCAAGACUCCGUCUCAAAAAAAAAAAAAUCAAAGCCACCUACUUAAGGACCAAACUAUCCUUCCAAUAUCGUGUGAUUGUGUGAAUACCUACAACUGAGAUAUAUUCGGCAACAGAUACAAGACGGAAGCAACACCUGAAUAUUGCAGAAGGUAUAAAAUGUAUGUUGUUACAUAACAAAAAUUAAUAAUGUACCACAAUGAGGUGCAAUCUCAUACGCAUCAGGAUGGAUGCCAUUAAAUAAAAAAAGGAACGAACUCUGAAGAUAACAAGUUGGUAAGAAUGCGGUGAGCCGGAGCCCUUGUGCAAUACUGGUGGGAACAUAACGUGGCACAGCAGCUAUGGAAAACAGUAGGGAAGGUCCCCCCAAAAUUAAAAAUAAAAUUGCCAUAUCACCCAGCAAUUCCACUUCUGGGUAUACACACAAAAGAACUGAAAUCAGAGUCUUAAAGAGGUAUUUGCACACCAAUGUUCAUAUUAAUAUUAUUCACAAUAGCCAAGAAAUUGAAGCAAUCCAAGUGUCCAUCUAUGGAUGAAUGGAUAAACAAAAUGUGGUUUAUACACACAAUGGAACACUAUGCAGCCCUAAAAAAGAAGGAAAUUCUGAAACUUGCUACAACAUGGAUGAACCUGGAGGACAUGUUGCUAACUGAAAUGAGCCAUCCACAAAAAGGCAAAGUGUGAUUCUACUUAGAUGAGGUCCCUAGAGUAGUCAAAUUCAUAGGGAUAGAAAGUAGAAUGGUGGUUACCAGGGGCUGGGGAAGGGGGCAAUGAGGAGUUCUUGUUUAAUGGAUACAGAGUUUCAGUUUAAUAAGAUGAAAAAGUUCUGAAGAUGGAUCGUUGCGCGGCAAUGUAAAUGUACUUAAUAUUGAACUGUACACUUAAAAAUGGUUAAAAUGGUAAAUUUUAUGUUGUGUGUAUUUUACCAUAGUCAAAAAUAAAAAUAAGUAAUGUAU